rnacentral:tRNA from 1 species
GCCCCGGUAGCUCAGAGGAUAGAGCAGCUGCCUUCUAAGCAGUUGGUCGCGCGUUCGAUUCGCGCCCGGGGUACCA